rnacentral:lncRNA from 1 species
UCCGCCUGGCUCUGCUGGCGGGGACGCUGGGCCCGGGAUGACCGAGCCCAGCUGGAGGCCCUGGGCACAGCGGCCUACGCACGCCCCGCUGUUAGCCCACGGCUGAGCUGGCAGGGCUGUGCCAGUCAGCUGGCAUGGCAAGCUGGUUUCUGUCCUCUGCCAUCCAGGAGAAGGCGGGCAGGUGCUGAUGCAUGGCCCCAGUGCCCUCCCUGCUUUCCCAGCCCCGUGGCGGGGGUACGGUACCACCGGUUUGGGUGGAGAUGCUGGGUAGGGUGCAGAUGGGCAGGGCUCUGCCUGGCACCUCUGCAGGGCUUGGUAGCAAGCAUGUCAAUUUGGGGGAGUGGGUGCAGGACUGGUCCUUGGAAGCUGCAGGGGGUGCAGUGAGCCCCCCCAUCUCCCUUCGGGCCCUGAUGUGGGGUGAUUUGGGAGUGGGUGCUUUUUGCACCCUGACCCCCUCCUCUUUCUUUUUCCUGCUGCAGGGGGUGACUGAGCUGUGUUUGCGGAGCAGGGACCUGAGCGGACCAGACGAAUGGGCAGCGACUGGCGAGCUAGGGCGCAUUGUGGGAGCGGGUGCUUGGGUGCUCCCUCCUCUGCCUCAUGCAGAGAGGGCACAGGGUGUGUGUGUGGGGCUGGGAGCGUGGACCCCAAGGCCAACGGGACUGGAGUGCUGAACUCACAAGUGCUAUGAGUUUGUUGGAUCUCUGACCAGUGCCCCUCACCUGCUGGCCAGCGGGCCACGCGCCUGGUUAGGCUGGCGCUGCCACCGAAGGGUGAGAGGCCCUGGGAAGGGGUGGGGAGCAGCAUAGGGCUGGUUUUGGGGAGGGCACCGGGGACAGGCUGCUAGAGGACGAGCCCCUUGCUGGCAGCAGCCUGGGGGAGGGGGUUUGGGGGGGGGGGGGGGGGGGGAGGAGUGGGGUUCCCCCUGCCCCAGGGCCUGGGGGCUCUGCAGUGGCCCUGUUAGCCCCAUCCCGCCCCUCCCCUCCCUGGGAGGGACAGGCCUGGCUUAAUGGGGGCUGUGGGGUGGAGGUGGGGGACCCCUGGGCUGUGCAAUGAAAAGGAAGCUCCACUGAGGGCACAUUGUGGGGGAGCCCGUCCUUUUAGGGGGCCCGGCUCCCUGCCGGCUCGCCCUGGUGCCCGGGGGUCUGCGGGGCGCAGGGG